AAAAAUAAAAUUGCAGGAUUGAAUAUUUAUCCCUAUUAAAUUUUGUCAUAGAUUCAUGCUAUCGUUUCAAUGAGUCAGUGUUUUUUGGAUCCCAACUCUGUUAUCCAAUUGGUCAACUCUCCAUCCAGGAUUUGUGUCCUUUGCAAAUCUGAGGAGAUAUUCACCUUCAUCCAAGUCAUUGAUAAACAUGUUGAACAGUACAGUGAAAAGAAUAGAACCCCAUGCACUUCAAUGGGUAGUUCCCUCCUAGUUGACUUGCAUUUUUAAUAUUCAUUGGAUCAUGAGAUUGUAGAUUUAGAGCUAGAAAGGACCUCUGAGGUCAUUGAAUACAACCUUCUCCUUUUUCAGAUGAGGAGCCUGAAGACCAGAGAGAAGUGGUCUUCUGAGUAAGACUCAGUAAGUCUGACUUACCCAGUCAGAAAAUGAGCAAGUGGUGAAGGGAGCUUUCCAACUCCAGUCUUCCAGAUGUCAAGUCCUGCACUUAAUGUAUUGCACCACAUUGGUCUAAUCCAGAUCUGAGACUACCUGAUUGCUCUUUCAUUUAGUCCACAUCUUUCUUUCCUCAUAUGUUCCCCUACCUAUAAUCAUCUUCUCAUUUCUCUUACUGCUAUAUCCAGUCUGACUGCUCCCUUUGUUGUUCAUUUGUUUCAGUUGUGUUUGACUCUUGACGAACCUAUUUGGGAUUUUCUUGGCAAAGAUACUGAAGUAGUUUGCCGUUUCCUUCUUCAGCUCAUUUUAGAUGAGGCAACUGAGGUAAAACAGGGUGAAAUGACUUAUUCAGAAUCACAUAGGUAGCAAAUUCAAAUUUGAACAGGGGAAAAUGAGAUUUCAAGUGUGCUAUUCUGUCCACUCUGUCACCUUGCUGCCCCCGGGACCUUAAAUCCCCUCAAUUUUCCUAUCUGUAUAUACAAGGGAUUGGCCAUUCUUUGAUUGAUUAGAUGACUAUUAAUAAACACUUAUUUACUAACUUCUUCCCAAAGGAAUCUGUUUUGUAAUAGGAGAGCUGGGGAGAGAUACACAGAUACAGGAGAAGAGAUAGAGAGACAUAGUCAUAGAGAGUGACAGAAAAAGCAAAAAAUUAUGGACAGUGAGACUCAGAGAAAAGAGCCAAGGAGACAGACACGAAAGAGUGACAGAGGCAGACUGAAAGAGACAGAGGGACAGAGACUAAGGUAGAACUGGCACAAGUAGGUGGUCUGAUUUCAAGGCAAAAAAAAAUCUUUCAUAAAUUAAGAGAUGUCUAGUCUCAGCUUUUCACUUAAGUCUCUGAAUUUGAGUAGUAUUUUUUAGUUCGGUAACAAGAUCAUAUUCAAUGAUCUCUGAGUUGUGUCCCAGCUUCCAGAAGCCAAACAAAGUUGUAAUGACCGCGUAUUUAAAAUCAGCCUGAGUCAGGAAUUCAGGUUAAGGGAAAAAUCUUCAAUCUUUAUUGAAGUGAAGAGGUGAAAAAAGAUUGCGAUAGGAAUAUGGGCAAGAAAGAUUGUGAUAGCAAUACGGGCAGCUGCGACAGGAAGCCAGCUAGCAGAGAGAGACCUGAGCUGAAAAGCCGUGGCAAUGGCAAUGGCAAUGCGAGCAGUCUCUCCUUCCCCUUCCUUUUCUACUCCCCUGCCUCCACCCACCAAAAUCGUCAUUUCCUAUACAACACAUCAGGACUUGCACAAAAAGUGGGCAGGGGCCAUUCUUUCUCCAAGCAUAUAUAUUAAUAGAGUAUGG